GACGAACCGUGCGAACGUUAUUCGGAAUUACUGGGCGUAAAGCGCGUGUAGGUGGUGGGACAAGUCUGCUGUGAAAGCGCCUGGCUUAACCGGGCGAAGGUCGGCGGAAACUGUUUCACUGGAGGACGGUAGAGGGGGGUGGAAUUCCCGGUGUAGUGGUGAAAUGCGUAGAGAUCGGAAAGAACACCAACGGCGAAAGCACUCUGCUGGGCCGACACUGACACUGAGAGACGAAAGCUAGGGGGAGCGAAUGGG
rnacentral:rRNA from 1 species